ACACAUUGGGGCUGAUUCUGGAUUCGACGGGAUUUGCGAAACCCAAGGUGCAUGCCGAGGGGCGGUUGGCCUCGUAAAAAGCCGCAAAAAAUAGUCGCAAACGACGAAAACUACGCUUUAGCAGCUUAAUAACCUGCUUAGAGCCCUCUCUCCCUAGCCUCCGCUCUUAGGACGGGGAUCAAGAGAGGUCAAACCCAAAAGAGAUCGCGUGGAAGCCCUGCCUGGGGUUGAAGCGUUAAAACUUAAUCAGGCUAGUUUGUUAGUGGCGUGUCCGUCCGCAGCUGGCAAGCGAAUGUAAAGACUGACUAAGCAUGUAGUACCGAGGAUGUAGGAAUUUCGGACGCGGGUUCAACUCCCGCCAGCUCCACCAAAUAAAUCAAGGGGUUA
rnacentral:tmRNA from 2 species